GCAUGGGGUUAGGGUAUGGGGGGGGGCGACGGGACUAGAGCAACCAAACAGGACCUAACAGUGUUCGAAUCCCCAGCGUGUCCUGUGCUCUGUCUGUGACACGAUUCGGGAGCUCAAAGAAACAAAGUGACAACAACUCUGCUGCACUCAUCUGGGGUAGCUUCCUCUCAGUCUAUACAUCCCCAUUUAGUAAAUACCCUUGAGAAGGAAGAAUAGUAAGGCAGUUUGGGAGAUAGCAUUCAGAAGUUUCCGUUAUUGAUUGGGAAAAUAGAAUUGUUCCCAGGGGCAGAGGACCUGAAUUCGGUUCCCAACAUCUAUCUACACUGGGUUGCUUACAACCAUCUGUGACCCCAGCUCCAGAGGAUCCAACGCUUUCCAGCCUGCUCAGGUCCCUGCACACGCGACAGUCUCCUACAUACAUCCACAGCUGCCACACAAUGAAAUAAAUAAAACCUAAAUUUUUAAAUAGUUAUUCAUCAAUGUAAGGAAAACUGUAAAGUCCGGUUUAGGGCAGAAACUGAAUGAAACAGGAGGUAGGGAGGCCACUGAGGACCUGGGGAAGGUGGGCAUUUAAAAAGGAGUCCUCAAUGUGGGGUGCUAUAUCAAAACAGAGGCCGAAAAUUGUAGCCCUGGUUAGCAUUUUCUGCAUAAUCCACUUGUUAAAAACAAGAUGUCAUUAAAGGAAGUGCCCUGGGGCUGAAAAUGCACCUUAUGUGGGGGAGGGGAGAGUAGGUCCAAAGGAUUAAAGGACUAAAGAUUUUUGGUCCAGGACCUGGAUAGGUGUAAGGACAUCCUUAAAGAACCUAUAGGGCUCCGUGGUCCCUGUGACACUAGGGCCAAGGUCUAGUCCUCUGUGAGGACUCUUCCGUAGGCAUCUAAAAAGUCAAAAUCAUAUUUUUUGAAGUCUGAUGCAUCCAGAGUACAUUUUCCCCUCAGACUCACUCCUUAUCCUUGAGCACUUAGAAGCGUGAACAUGCUACAUCAAAAACAAGUAUUUUAAUUUGCGAGGCCUGCAGGAGGACUCAGCAGGUAAGCUCCAAGAGCAGAGUCUUUGGGUGUCGCAUGGCAGAGGAAGAGGACCAACUACCAUAGUACCAUAGUUUUCCCUUGAUUUCUUCCACACAGGAUCUUGCGCGCACACACACACACACACAUGCAUACACACACACACAAUCAAUCAAUCAAUCUUUAAAUUAGAAGUUGUCUAAGUAUAUUUCUUGUCAGCUGAGGAGACGUCUCAGCUCACUUGCCAUGCAUGUGUAGGGACCUGGAAUCAGAUCCCAGCACCCACAUAAGUAGCCAGGAGGAUGUACUGGUCUCCUCUAGUGCCAGCACCCAGGAGGCAGACACUGGGGGGGUCUACACGGCAAGCUAGCUAGCAGGACAAACCCACACAGUGCAUCCUGGGUUCAGCUAGAAUCCCGGCACCAUCUAAGAAGCCUGCCUUGGUAAAUGAAGUGGGGCAACUGAAGAAGACACCCAAUGCCAACCUUCUCCCUCCACACCCAUGAGCACCCAAUGUCAUCUCUGACCUCCACACUCUUGAGCACCCAAGUGUACGCCCACCGUAUUACAGGGCUCAUGAGCACCCAAGUGUACGCCCACCCUAUUGCGUGGCUCAUGCACAGAACCCCCAGAGAAACAUGAGGACAAAAGUUUAAAAUAAUUUUUUUUUUUUUAGUGUAAAUUUCUCUUACGCUGAAAUCGCUUGCUCAUCUGUCAGGCUGGUACGCAUAAGACAUGUGUUUGUCUUGGACUGACUGGGACUUUGUAAAGAAUCUUGUUCCUUCCCUUUGUCUAUUGCAUUAAGGUAUCUUGAGAAACUGCCUCACAAUUUACCACUCUGUCAGGACAAAUCUCUACACCUUUCCCCUCUGUGGAAACUGAGAAGGCCAGUGGAAUUCCAAGUGUCCUUCCACGCGCCCUUUCCCUAGGAGCUGUCUUCCCACUUAAAACCAUCUUUAAAAACUUUGACCACAUAGGUACAACUCAAAACGAACUGUCCAAACAUCCUGGAAUGGCAAUUCCAUAAAAUGUUAAAAAAAAAAAAAAAAAGCCCUCUCCGUCUUAUAAAACUAUUUAAAGCCCAAAUUAAAAAGAUCCACCAAGUCAGUCAGCUAAUUGUUUAAAACUGUGCAUAAAUAUGACUCACAAGCUACAAAGCCUGGAAUUCGAAAAUCACAAAUCUUAAUCUUGUAAACAAAACUCAAACUGGGGCCUCUGGACUUCGGUUCUUCUCGAGCUAAAGCAAACGUUUUAUGUACACAAAGGGAAGGAUAUUCUUUCUGAUGGUCUUCAGCAAAACCCAGCAGGGUUUUUUUUUUCUUUUAAUUUUUUUUUCUUGUGUGUGUCUAUAUGUGCUUGGGGUAGGGUUUGUGAGCACAGGAAGGGGCAGAGGAGGAGACCAGGGGUCCUCUGUCACUCUCCAUGAGUCUCUAUCACUCUCUUUGAGUCUCUCUCCGAACCUAGAGCUAACCUGGCAUCGAGCAAUUUCCAAAGGGUUUCCAGUCUUCUCUCACUAGUGCUGGGCUGGCAAAGAACCACACCCAACUUUGCAUAUGGGCCCUCGGGAUUUGAACUCACGUCCUCAAGCUUGCACAGCAAACACUCUUAGCCACUGAGCUAAAUCUCCCAAGCCAGCUUUAAGGGCCUGGGUUAACAUGAGAGACAGUUGACCUUUCUGGAACUGCACUUCAAUGGAAACCAACGACACGAACGCGGACUUUAUGAAGCAACAGGACUAAAACCUGUUAGGAUUUUUGCUGUUUCCCUUUGUGUGGCUCUUCCCUUCUGAAAUGGUCCACUGCUGUUUGCAACACGAUCCAAAACUCUUAAAUCACCUCAACUACCGAUGUCUGCAACGAGCUCUCUUGCACCCUACUUCCGCGCUCCCCAACACACACACACACACACACACACACACACACACACACACACACACGGCCACCGCAAUCUCUGCAUUUCACCCCAAAUCGACCCUGGCCAUCCUCUUAGUUACUAGGGAAGGUCAUGGAAAGCCAGUGAUGAAAAGAGUGUAAACUUUCACAAACUGAACCACUGCAUUGUACAGUAGGGAAAACUGAGGCCCAGAGUCAUGUGACUUGCCCAGAUCGUGGCCCUAACUCUAACUUUAGAGUUAAAAUGCCAGAUUUUAAACUUUCCAAGCAAACCCUUAGGAAGGAGCCCUAGAGCCUGCUUUUCUCCCUUAACUAACCCCUGCGAUGGGACCUGGAGGACAACCUGGGUUAGGUGUUUCCAUUGAAUAGUAGCUGCUGAGAUCUUUCAUUCCAGGCAGCAUCCCUAUAGUCCAUCACUUAGUAGGCAUGCACUAGAUUUUUCUCAGCCAUCAACCUGACCACCCUCACUGGGUCCUCAUCCCGGCAGGCCAGGAAUCAGCGAGGAUAGAGAUCAGUUCUCUUCUCUAACUUGUAUCCAGUGAGUCACGGCCCAGAAUCCCUCCCGAGAUGGCAAAGCUGAGGACUGAGAGUCUGGCUCAGUCGCGGUGUCUAGGGCAGUAAGCGGCCCAGGUGUGCAGCAGCUGGGCGUCCAGUCCCCUGCCGAUGCUCCUCCAAGUUCCAACUUCUUAAACUUCCCUUUCCGGGGCUCCAGGCCCCUCGCGGCCGACCUGGCCUUUCGUGCGCGCACAAAGGGGGUCAGGAGCGUCCCCAAGUCCCCUGCAAGUGGACUGUCCUGCUCUUUUGCGAGAGAUCUUGCCCGGAUCCCCGCGGGCCUGAACCGACUCGGGCCGCUACAAACUUCCCGUUUCCGCUCUCGCACCGGGUCCCGCGGCCGACUGUCAAUCGCUGCCCUGGGGGCUGGAGGAGGAGCGGGGAGCCCCAGUGAACCCCCAGGGUCGCGCCCUGGCCACUCACUCACCCGACUUGGGAACGUGCGGCGGGAUCGUGCUGGCGAUGCGCGUCCACAGGACGAUAUGCAGCGGCCACAGGCCCCGGAGCAGCCCCCGACCCAUGGCAGCCCCCGUCGCUCGUCAUAGACCGGCCCCUGGUGCGCCACGAACCGAGCCUCGGGGACCCCGGGCUGCGCCUUUACUCCUCGCCCUCUCAGGAUGCGGGCCAGAUGUGGCCGGCGAUCCCCGGAGCUCGGAGGCCCGGAGGAGGCCCCCGGCGGCCGAGGAGAGCUGAGCAGGAGGCUGGGGCUCCGUCCCCCAGGCGAGCGUGUGCGCGCGCGGGGGGUGUCGUCGGUCGGUGCGCGCGAGUGACUCACUCAUCAACUUUACCCGGGCGCCGAGAGGGAAACAGGAAACUCCUCGCCAACAGCUGGGCAGGACCUCUCGCCGCCGGAGAGCCUUCCAGCUCCGGCCCUCUCCUCCAGCUUCCAGCCCUCGCCUUCCUCCGGCCGCCAAUCAAGGCCGCUGGAUUGGACCUUGCCUGGACUCUACAAACUUUUAGCUGCCCACUCCCAGCGCUCCCACGCAACCCCCACCCCGCCAAGUCUGGGCUCCAAGUUCAAACUCAGAAGUGACUAAGCGCACUUUUCGCAAAACAAGCUCGAAAGUGGUGUAAACCACUUUCCUUGAUACACCUCCAGGCACCCCCACACCUUCUAGGCAUUACUCCCAGGGGCUUCAUAAUUCCAUUGAGACCCAGGAGAGAGCUCUGAAAUGUAGCUUCAGAGUCCCGAACACGUUGCUUCCCCUAAUAAAAUAAAGUAGGUCUGAACCCAGAGUGUCUGCAUGUCUAAUGAGCACCUGGGUAGAGCCUCCCAUUGGAAGGACCGUUUCCUGGGCGUGGUUUGCUGGGUGAAGCUCUGUGAUCAAGAUGGAGUCUCAUGUACAUUGCUGACCUCAAACUUGCCAGGUAGCCGAGGCUGGCUUUGAACUCUGGACGCUCCUGCCUAAGUCUCCCAACUGCUGAGGUUACAGGUGUUCAUCCACCAUGUCGAGACCUUUUACAACAUUUAUGAUAUCUGGGUUUCAUAAUGUUUCUCACUGACUCCCAAUCUCAUGUCUCCUUCAACUUCAAAGAUCUUGAGGGCAGGCACUAUACACCUAUCUUUCCUUACUACUGAAUCCAUGUACUAAACAGGUCUCAGGUCUGCAGUCAGGCAUGUGUUGGCUAAGUGAGCACAUGAGGUAACAAGGACUCAGAGGACGAGUGACCUCAGGGACCUAGUGAUUUCAUAAUUCUGAGGAGAGCAUUAUGUAACCCGACAGAGAUAUGAAUAGAUGAGCUUUCUGCCAGUGCUGCUUCCCUUUCUGAGAAAGGAGAAAUGAACCUGCUGCCUUCUGUCUUCUUAAUUUCCCCUAAGUUUGUCCAAGUUCUCUAUCUGUGACAGAUGUGCUGUCUUCUCUGUGUGUGCUAAAACAAGUAAAGGUCCCAACCAUCCCAAGGAGCCUGGAGCGACAGCACAGUUGAUAAAGUGUAGUGAGAAUUCUGGAGAUUUGGUUUAUUGAAAUAAACACAGAAAUAUUAUAAGAA